GGAAGGAUCAAUCUAGAGAACAAACGAAAAAAACACUCGAAAUUCCAAAUCCGACCAUUGUGGGUUUUUAGGGGCAGGUCCUUUAUCGGAUCUGUUUCCGAUACACACACAGUGGUUCGACAAACAAAAAUCCAAAACUCUUUUUUUUUUUUUCCCCCCCCUUAAAAAAACGAAACCGAUACAUACGACUCUUGGCAAUGGAUCCCUUGGCUCUGUUAACGAUGAAGAACGCAGCGAAAUGCGAUACUAAAUGUGAACUGCAGAACGCCGUGAAUCAUCAUGUCUUUGAACGCACCUUGCGGCUCAGGGGUUUAGUAACCACUGAGCCACACUUGACCGAGGGCCAUUAAAACAAAAAAAAACCCCUUCCUUCUGCCCUGUGUGGUCGGACGGGGUUUUCUUACUAGCAUCCGUUGCUUUAUUGCUUCGGGAUAUGAGGUGUCCGGGUUAGCCCGGUCCCUUGAAACUUGUAUCCGUCGUCUUUUUUUUUUCCUUCAUAACCGUUCGCGGCCUUUACGGGCUGUGGUCGGAGGAAGAUUAUUGGGACUGGGAGCUUAGGUCACAAGGAAACUUCAGCCUUGCUCUCUGUUUCGGUUAUUUUCCGCGUGGGGGAUAUAAAUGCGAUACAGCGGUACGAAUACAAAAACACAAUAAAAAACCGUGGCCUCGGUUCAAGUGAGAUUACCCGCUGAACUUAAGCAUAUCAUUAAGCGGAGGAAAAGAAACUAACUAGGAUUCCCUCAGUAACGGCGAGUGAAGCGGGAAAAGCCCAGGCUGAAUCUCACGGUGCGCCCAAGCGCUGUGCGAGUUGUGGCUUGUGGGUAGGAAGGCUUCGUGACGGCGAUGGUCAAAGUCCGCUGGAAAGCGGUAAGCAUGGUUAAUCCGUGUCGCGCCAAAGAGGGUGACAGCCCCGUAAACGAUCAUCGUCCAACCGUUGCGGCCACGCCUUUCUGUCCCUAGAGUCGGGUUGCUUGAGAUCGCAGCCCCAAACGGGUGGUACACCCCAUCUAAGGCUAAAUAUUGAACAGAGACCGAUAGCAAACAAGUACUGUGAAGGAAAGGUGAAAAGCACUCUGGAGAGAGAGUGAAAUAGCACGUGAAAUUGCCAAGAGGAAAAGGGAACGGAGCCAUUGACGCGACGCACAUCGGGUCCAGCCAGGCAAGCAAUUGCAUGGUGUAUCCCCGGUGUGCGCGUGUCCCGGUGGGUUUGGGGGUCCUCAUAGGGCAUUGGGUCUCUCGGCCUCGUGGAGACUGACGUUCAUCACGAGAGGACUCAAAAGGCUGGUUUAGUGACCCCUGGAUCCAGGAAGGAAAUUUUUCCGACGCGCCACGUGCUUUGCACGAGGAAGGCACAUUUCUGCUUGUAGGUGUCAACCGGUGUCUGUCACUCGUUCCCACGGGUGGCAGCGCCAAGGGUCAGGCCGCUUCGGUGGGCGCUCUUGCACUUAUGGGCAGGUGAGUGUGUCUAGCCUCUGUGGCGAGACAGACCGGGGCUCGAAAUGGCACUCUGUUCCUCCCGUCUUGAAACACGGACCAAGGAGUCCAACGGAUGAGCGAGCGUAAGAGUGGAAAAACUCCGACGCGUAAUGAAAGUACGCGGCCUCACGGCUGCUGAGUGUCAGGGAGGUGUCGGAAACGGCGCUUUCUUCAGCACUGACCGGCUCGAUCCAUCGAGACUGAGUCCGAGUUUAUCCGUUGGGACCCGAAAGAUGGUGAUCUAUGCCUGCGCAGGGUGAAGCCAGAGGAAACUCUGGUGGAGGCUCGCAACGGUGCUGACGUGCAAAUCGCUCGUCUGACGUGGGUAUAGGGGCGAAAGACUAAUCGAACCAUCUAAUUGCUGGUUCCCUU
rnacentral:misc_RNA from 1 species